rnacentral:misc_RNA from 1 species
AAGUCGUAACAAGGUUUCCGUAGGUGAACCUGCGGAAGGAUCAUUACUGAAUGACAUGCGCCUGUUUGUGGUAGACCAUUGCCUGCCCAUCGCAUUGUGAUGAUAAUCAACUCAACCCACAGCCCGCGACGGCCCUGCAACCAUACACGGUGGGCCUGUUUGGGAAUGGCUGAAGUUGGUUAGAUGUCGGAUGCCGUUGCGGCAGACCUUUGGUCUCCCAUGCCUUUUUUCACCACACAAAUCCUGUCGUCGUAUGGUCGUGGCAUCCUUUUGUCGGGUUGCCCCUAAAUAUAUAAAUAUAACUUUCAACAACGGAUCUCUUGGCUCUC